UACGUAGGGUGCAAGCGUUGUCCGGAAUUAUUGGGCGUAAAGAGCUCGUAGGCGGUUUGUCGCGUCUGCUGUGAAAACCCGAGGCUCAACCUCGGGCCUGCAGUGGGUACGGGCAGACUAGAGUGCGGUAGGGGAGAUUGGAAUUCCUGGUGUAGCGGUGGAAUGCGCAGAUAUCAGGAGGAACACCUGCGGCGAAGGCGGGUUGCUGGGCUGACACUGACGCUGAGGCGCGAAAGCUAGGGGAGCGAACGGG
rnacentral:rRNA from 1 species